GUCGCUGGCGCCGCCUCCCACCCAGAGGCUGGUGCCGUCGGGGGUCACCAGCACAAAAGCAUCAUUGGAGUUCAGGUUCGCCGCCACUGCGUCAAGCUGCAGGAUAACAGAGACACGGUUGGCUUUGAGCGUCACCAGAGACGAGAGGAGCAGAUUUGGAGAUGCGGACGUGACUGCAGCCCGUGUUUCUGCCGGGAUGGAUGGCUUUCUUGCUGCAGCAGGGACACAACGUAAACUCAAAGGUUGUCCAUGCGAAGUGACCACAACAAAGGAAAUAAACACAAGUAAGGUAAUCCUAAUGCUUCAACAUCAGCCAAGUUGACAGUUUGGAGCCAGGACUGAUGGGAGCAUCUCAUCAGCUUCCACCCUGGGAUGUCCCGUUUGUGUUAGACUCAGCCAGUUUCCCUGACUGCUCACAUAUUUUUGUCUGCGGCUCUAAGAAACAUAGCAUUGCAGUCACUUUGCAUGGAGUGAAGAGUAGCAGGGGAAGGAGGGGGGAAAUACCUGAGUGGUUAUAGGAGCACCAACAACCUGAGGAGGAAGGCGGGGCAGAAACCAAGGAGCAAAGAAGCAGCAGAAGGGAAAAAAAA